AAUCCGAACGGUCGCGGCGGCAUUUUUUGCCGAUGAGGAAAGUCCGAGCUUCGCAGGACAGGGUGCCGGAGAAAUCCCGGUGGAGGCGACUCUAAGGAAAGUGCAACAGAAAUAAACCGCCGCCCCUCUCGGGCGGUAAGGGUGGAAAGGCGGGGUAAGAGCCCACCGACAUUGCGGUAACGCUUUGUGCCAUGUAAACCCCAUCCGAAGCAACGCCGAAUGGAUUGGCUUGUCCGGCCGAUAAUCCGAAAGGCGGCUGGAGCCGCGCAGAGAUGCGCGGCGUAGACAGAUGACCGUUUCGGGGCAGGGCGUUUCGCCCUCGCUCUAUGACAGAACUCGGCUUACAGGGUUACUCA
rnacentral:RNase_P_RNA from 1 species